rnacentral:rRNA from 1 species
AUUGAACGCUGGCGGCGUGCUUAACACAUGCAAGUCGAGCGGUAACAGGCGUAGCAAUACGUGCUGACGAGCGGCGAACGGGUGCGUAAUACAUGGGAAUCUGCCCUUUAGUGGGGAAUAACCCGGCGAAGGCCGGGCUAAUGCCGCAUGAGAUCUUCGGAUGAAAGCGGGGGAUCGUAAGACCUCGCGCUGAUGGAUGAGCCCAUGUCGGAUUAGCUAGUUGGUGAGGUAACGGCUCACCAAGGCGACGAUCCGUAGCUGGUCUGAGAGGACGGCCAGCCACACUGGGACUGAGACACGGCCCAGACUCCUACGGGAGGCAGCAGUGGGGAAUAUUGGACAAUGGGGGAAACCCUGAUCCAGCGACGCCGCGUGUGUGAAGAAGGCCU